rnacentral:rRNA from 1 species
UAAACGGCGGCCGUAACUAUAACGGUCCUAAGGUAGCGAAAUUCCUUGUCGGGUAAGUUCCGACCUGCACGAAUGGCGUAAUGAUGGCCAGGCUGUCUCCACCCGAGACUCAGUGAAAUUGAACUCGCUGUGAAGAUGCAGUGUACCCGCGGCAAGACGGAAAGACCCCGUGAACCUUUACUAUAGCUUGACACUGAACAUUGAGCCUUGAUGUGUAGGAUAGGUGGGAGGCUUUGAAGUGUGGACGCCAGUCUGCAUGGAGCCGACCUUGAAAUACCACCCUUUAAUGUUUGAUGUUCUAACGUUGACCCGUAAUCCGGGUUGCGGACAGUGUCUGGUGGGUAGUUUGACUGGGGCGGUCUCCUCCUAAAGAGUAACGGAGGAGCACGAAGGUUGGCUAAUCCUGGUCGGACAUCAGGAGGUUAGUGCAAUGGCAUAAGCCAGCUUGACUGCGAGCGUGACGGCGCGAGCAGGUGCGAAAGCAGGUCAUAGUGAUCCGGUGGUUCUGAAUGGAAGGGCCAUCGCUCAACGGAUAAAAGGUACUCCGGGGAUAACAGGCUGAUACCGCCCAAGAGUUCAUAUCGACGGCGGUGUUUGGCACCUCGAUGUCGGCUCAUCACAUCCUGGGGCUGAAGUAGGUCCCAAGGGUAUGGCUGUUCGCCAUUUAAAGUGGUACGCGAGCUGGGUUUAGAACGUCGUGAGACAGUUCGGUCCCUAUCUGCCGUGGGCGCUGGAGAACUGAGGGGGGCUGCUCCUAGUACGAGAGGACCGGAGUGGACGCAUCACUGGUGUUCGGGUUGUCAUGCCAAUGGCACUGCCCGGUAGCUAAAUGCGGAAGAGAUAAGUGCUGAAAGCAUCUAAGCACGAAACUUGCCCCGAGAUGAGUUCUCCCUGACUCCUUGAGAGUCCUGAAGGAACGUUGAAGACGACGACGUUGAUAGGCCGGGUGUGUAAGCGCAGCGAUGCGUUGAGCUAACCGGUACUAAUGAACCGUGAGGCUUAACCUU